CUACGGGCGGCUGCAGUCGAGAAUCUUCCACAAUGGGCGAAAGCCUGAUGGAGCGACGCCGCGUGCGUGAUGAAGCUCUUCGGAGUGUAAAGCGCUUUUAUAAAGGAGAAACGCAAGUGAUAUUACUUUAUGAAUAAGGGGUUGCUAAACUCGUGCCAGCAGCCGCGGUAAUACGAGUGCCCCGAGCGUUAUCCGGAAUUACUGGGCGUAAAGGGUGUGUAGGGGGCAAUGUUAGUCUUACUUUAAAUUCUUCCGCUCAACGGAGGAUCUGGGUAUGAUACGGCAUUGCUCAGAGGAUGCGAGAGGUUGAUGGAACUCUGGGUGUAGGGGUGGAAUCCGUUGAUAUCCAGGGGAACACCAAAGGCGAAGGCAAUCAACUGGCGCAUUCCUGACCCUGAAACACGAAAGCGUGGGGAUCGAAAGGGAUUAGAUACCCGUGUAGUC
rnacentral:rRNA from 1 species